UCUUACAUGUUGAAGGAUUGGGGUCAAAUCUCAUCAGUGAUAUCAUCUCAUGCAAGAGCUCAAGAGUAAGUGAAGUAGAGCUGUGGCACCAGAAUCUAGGGCACACAAACUUCAAAAAUCUGAAGCUGCUCAACAAGUACAAUGCCAUAAGAGGAAUUCCAGAUCU